rnacentral:lncRNA from 1 species
CAAUUCAUCCCAUGAACAACUUUCUGGAAAUAGCUAGAGGGGCAGAGAGGAAUCAGGCUGCAUUCUUUUUUAAGUGAGUGCCAACUAUUCAGAUUAAAGAGUAUGGAACUCUCUCUUUCUAGUACAAUGACAUAGAGGAAAGAAGGUCUGGGUACACAGCUGCCCUCUUAGGCAAGUGCUGGGGAGUUUGUUUCCACAUUAUCUCUUAACCCUUCUCAGUUUUGUUCCCAGGGGAAGAGGACCAAGUUAGCUGAUAAAUGAGACAGAAAAAUUUCAUUGACCGGGCUGGGCAUUCAGGAUGUAGGGUUUUUGCUUUGUAACUCUAGUUUCCAUCACUCUUGGUCUUCCCAGAAGUUGCUUGAUUUCAGACAGAGUAUUUUCUUGUUGCUGAGAAAAGAAACUGAAAUCUUGCUCUGCCCCCAAUAGGAAUAAACAUUAUAGUCUGCAGUCAGAAACAAAGCACAUUGCACCUGGAAAGAACAAAAAUCAAAAUGAGUUAAUGUUUUACUUGUCUUUUCAUAUGGCCUACUUCUCCCUUGCAGUAAAUGCCUCAAGUUGCAAAUUUCCAGGUUCUACAUUCACGAUUCAGGGUGGGCAGGGUAAUAAAAGUCUCUGCACAGUUAGAGACUCUGCAAGGCUA